rnacentral:rRNA from 1 species
GAUAAACGCUGGCGGCGUGCAUAACACAUGCAAGUCGAACGAUGAAACUUAGAUGAUUUCUUCGGAAUGAACUUAAGCGGGUUAGUGGCGAACGGGUGAGUAACACGUGAGUAACCUGCCUUACACAAGGGGGAUAGCCUUUGGAAACGAAGAAUAAUACCCUAUAACGUCAAUCUAUCGCAUGAUAGAAUGACCAAAGAUUUAUCGGUGUAAGAUGGACUUGCGUCUGAUUAGCUAGUUGGUGAGAUAAAGGCCCACCAAGGCAACGAUCAGUAGCCGGCUUGAGAGAGUGUACGGCCACAUUGGGACUGAGACACGGCCCAA